GUCCAGCCGACGAGUCUAAAAUAGGACAAAACGCACCUCCUGGAU
rnacentral:hammerhead_ribozyme from 1 species